UAUCAUUUAGAGGAAGGAGAAGUCGUAACAAGGUUUCCGUAGGUGAACCUGCGGAAGGAUCAUUGUCGAUGCCUAACAAGCAGUGCGACCCGUGAACUUGUUUAACCGCUUCGGGGUGGCUCGGGGUGCUUUAAAAGGCGCCUCUGCCUCCUCGAGUUGGGAGGCGACUUCCUUGCGUGGUUUCCUCCCUGCCCAAACAACAAACCCCGGCGCGAGAUGCGCCAAGGAAAUUGAAAUCGUUUGGUGCGCUCCCGUCGACCCGGAGACGGUGCUCGAGCGGGCGGCGCUGCGACGCAAUAUUCUAAAUGACUCUCGGCAACGGAUAUCUCGGCUCUUGCAUCGAUGAAGAACGUAGCGAAAUGCGAUACUUGGUGUGAAUUGCAGAAUCCCGUGAACCAUCGAGUCUUUGAACGCAAGUUGCGCCCGAAGCCAUUAGGCUGAGGGCACGCCUGCCUGGGUGUCACACAUCGUUGCCCUUAAUUCGAUGCCUUGGGCAAGGCCUCGUGGUUUGGGCGAAUGUUGGCUUCCCGUGAGCAUCGUCUCGCGGUUGGUUGAAAUUUGAGUCUGUGGUGGAGAGCACCACGAGAGAUGGUGGCUGAGUGAAGCUCGAGACCAAUCGUGCGUGUCUCUCCGUCGGGUUCGGACUCUCUGACCCGUGGGGCAUUCGUUCGAUCGAUUGCCCAUGACGAGACCUCAGGUCAGGCGGGGCUACCCGCUGAGUUUAAGCAUAUCAAUAAGCGGAGGAAAAGAAACUAACAAGGAUUC
rnacentral:rRNA from 1 species